rnacentral:rRNA from 1 species
UGAGGAAUAUUGGUCAAUGGACGCAAGUCUGAACCAGCCAAGUAGCGUGCAGGAUGACGGCCCUCCGGGUUGUAAACUGCUUUUAGUUGGGAAUAAAAGGGGGCUCGUGAGCCCCGUAUUGUAUGUACCAUCAGAAAAAGGACCGGCUAAUUCCGUGCC